GUUGAGUAAAGUGUCUUAGUCCUCUCAUCCCCAAUUCUGAGUCUAGCUUCUCAUCCCCUUCUCGGGUUCUCUCCUGUCUUACUUAGCUUCUUCAUUUGCAUUUCCAUUAGUGUUGUUCUACUUCUUUGAGCUGUAAUCGUUAGUUACUACCAUCAAUGUAAUCUGUAUUUUGGAAUUGUUACAUAGAGAACUUUGACAUUAUUUAAUUCCAAUAGGAAUUGGUUUAUUCAUGCUUUCAAAUUAAAGCUUCAUCUCAAAUGACUUAUACACGGUCAUUCCAUAAAUAGGGCUGUUUUUAAUUCCAACUUGGCAAUGUAAGAGCUUUAGAAUCCUUGCUGGUGACGCUCGGAUUACCCCAGAUGUGUUACUUAGAGGUAGAAUUUCUCUUUCUUUCCCCUUCCCCUUGUUCUGCCUUUCUGGAAUAAACUGAACUCUUUUACUUGUGUGAUAGUCCUUACCC
rnacentral:lncRNA from 1 species